AGGACGAACGCUGGCGGCGUGCUUAACACAUGCAAGUCGAACGGUGAUCUCGGUGCUUGCACCGGGUGAUCAGUGGCGAACGGGUGAGUAACACGUGAGUAACCUGCCCCAGACUCUGGGAUAACCCCGAGAAAUCGGAGCUAAUACCGGAUACGAGACGCACAGGCAUCUGUAGCGUUUGGAAAGAUUUCGGUCUGGGAUGGACUCGCGGCCUAUCAGCUAGUUGGUGGGGUAAUGGCCCACAAGGCGACGACGGGUAGCCGG
rnacentral:rRNA from 1 species